CCAAGCUCUCUCUCCUUAGUUACAGCAAACAAUCAGCGUACCAACUGGAAGAGGCACAAACAUUCGAUCUUCAGGUUUGUACGUGCCAAAGAAAAUGGUUAUCAGAUAUACGUGAAAUGAGGAGCACUGUUUUACGAGCUGUUCAUAUAAGUCAAAUGAUCCAGGUUAUGUUCAGACACAAAUGGACAAACGGCUGGAUGUUUGAUAUUCUCAUCAGGCAGUUCUUUAGCAUUCAGGAGCAGCAGUGAAUGUUGCUGAAAAUGUUCCACUGGGAGAUUUCCAUCAAAAAGCUUUUAUCAAGGUGGUAAGUAACCUUGAAUUCUUAGACAUUGAUAACUUUUUCUGUCUUGUAGC
rnacentral:lncRNA from 1 species